UUCUUACUGCUACACAGUUAAUGUAGCUUCACACAUCACAGAGUGGAGUUCAUCUGUGGAGAUUAUCUGGAUCAACAGAACCUGGACGGAUCAGAAAGUUGUUAUUUUCUGUAAUAAUCCAGAACACAACAGACCUUCAGCUCUCUGACAGGGCAGCUGAUGGAAGGUUUAUUCACCUGUCACACACCUGUCCUGCAGCACACUGAGGUCAAGAGAGAUUAUAUAAAAGCGUGAAUUAAGGGAAGACAGAACAGGUAAAACAACACCUGAACUGUGAUGCUGGCUGUGUGUGACUCCAGGCGUCCACCUGAAUACUGAUGACUUGUUUCCAGCAGAGGUGUGUUGAUGAGGAUCUCUCAGCUCCGGCACAAAGCUUGAUGCAUCAGCAAUAUUAACUUUUCUGCUGGCAAGACGCUGGGUUGCAUUUUUCCCCAGAUUAUCUUUACAGAGGCGAGUAAAGCAUCAAGAAUCCUGUCGGUGUUCAGGUCUGUGGACUUAUCAAGGUUCAGUGAAACAGUCCGGCACGGCGGCACUGAGAGCUGCAGUCUAAUACUCAGCGACGGUGUUCGGUGUGGCUGAAGGAUCUUUCUGUUCUGUUGGAGCGCUGAGUUUGCUGAACAACCAGUUCUGAAACACGGAGCAGCUGCAGGGUGUAAUGUUCUCAGUUAACAUGUCUGACAACCACAGAAACUUCAGAGGUGGACAUCUGUACCAAACCUGUGAUGUCACGUCAGCAUUAUCUGUUCAGCAGCCGCUCAGAUAGCACACGGGUCUCUCAGGCCCGACCGACAGGAGUUACGUUAGGAAGACGUCGUCUGGGGAAGGUUUGCUAAUUGGGAAGACGCUGUUGUCAGACGUACGUGGUCCAUUGGGCCACAGAAGCAGAAGCAGAAGGUGGUGCUGCUGUCAGCGGGUCGAGUCGCACCACUACAUAUUUCUAAAGGCACUUGGAGACAUUUCCAUCCGUGUUGUAUGGCGUGAAAAUAUAGUAUUUUCUCUUAGACGUGGGGACAUUUUCAGCGAUGCUUCUCACCCUCGACUGUGACCUCGUGGUUCCUGCAGCUAAACGUAACCAGAGCACCAUCACAGGACUGUGACAAGAAACUGAAGAUCCAACCACAACACACAUGAAGAAAGAUGUGAAUACAGUCUGAUGCACAGACGACUGUACACACGGCAGUAAUAUUCCCUCUGCUGACUGGAGUUCGAGGUGAGCCGGUUAUCAGUCAGUUGUCUCUCCCAGAAGUGACAAAGCACUCCUGCCUCCACGCGUCACUCCUCUUCUCUCUCAAAAAUAGAAGUGAAAGAAACUGAAACACAACAAAUAAGUUUCCAGAGAGCGAGAGAGAGAGAGACCUGCCGAGUCGACGGGAUUGUGUCUCGCUGAGCCGUCUUAUCAAAGUGAUGGCUGCCAUUUCUUCCAGCUGACACCUGUGUCUCAUCUCCAUCUCACACUGUGUGCUGUGUGUGGAUGCAUGUGUGAUGUUGGCGGCGAGGGGGAGAAUGACAGUCUGUACCUGACAGUGAUGAUUACAGGUUGGCAGGAAGUUAAAGUCAGGAAAACAGAAAGGCAGAGCGUGAAAGGCACAAAAGGACUGAUAAGUGAGGAGGGACGCAGCUCGACGAGACAGUAAAGUACAGAGUGGUGAGUGAUGUGACCACAAGUGUUAAUCAGAACCAGUAUCAGUUAGGAGUACAUGAAAUGUCAGCUGUCAGAAACACAGAAUCACUGUUUCCUUUCAUUCGGGAGGUGAUAAAGUCGGGGAAACAAACCAGCAGGAGAUGGAGUGCUGCUCCUGAUAACAGUCAUCUCCUGUUCCCGGCUGCUUUCUCCGCUGAAUAAGAAACAUCAGACAAAAGGAACUGCAUUUAUUUCUCUCCCACUCGAACAAUCCCCGAGUCAUUUGCAUCGUGCGGUGGAAAAUAAAGAAGUGUCAGUGAGAGCGAGUAAUGUCAGGGUGUUUUGAUCAGGCGGCGUGAAAGAGCAACUCUGUGGAUGUUUAAGAGCGGGAAGACGGCGGCUCUCCCACCGCGAUCAUCUAAAGGUUACGAGUGUGUGCUGGGAUUUUAAUUUACCGUGAUGAGAGACAGAAGUUCAAUCUCGAAAAUAUUCUUGUUGUAGUCUUUGUCUGUUUCUGCCUCCAGACAGCAUCACUGCUCUGUAUUUUGAUUGGCUGACAGCGUGAAACGGCUCGUCAUGGUCACAAACUGUCUGAUCCCUGCAACAGCCUGUCAGAAUCACUGUUUCAGUGUUUUAUAACAUAUUUCUGCCCAAUACGUGCAAAAAACAUGCUGUUCUGUAGGUAUUCUAGAGAUAUUGAGGUAUUUAAUUUCCUGGACAAUCAUUGAAAAUGCUGAUGACUCAUCCUGCACUCGGGGGAGGGUGUAAACACUUUCCUUACUUAUUAAAAAACACUGCAUGUGUUUGUGUGUUGCUUGUGUGAGAUGAAUGCACAGAUUAAUGCACAAAAACACAACUUUGUACUUUAUUCAGGUCCAGCUGAGGCUUCAGACUGGAGCGGACGCUGCAGACGAGGACAGUUUCAGCACCGAGGUGACGUCACGCUAUCACACACGUCUGCACGCCUCACCAGUACCCGGUCCAAGUUCAUCUGGUUCUGCUCGACCCGAAACUCUGCACCGUCUCUGCCGCCUCACACCCAAGAGACGCUCAAACCAUCCUCGGCCCGACUCCCACACUGAAAUAUGUAAUAUAGUUCACUAAAUUAAAUUAAAU